UACGAAGGGGGCUAGCGUUGCUCGGAAUCACUGGGCGUAAGGGGUGCGUAGGCGGGUCUUUUAAGUCAGGGGGUGAAAUCCUGGAGCUCAACUCCAGAACUGCCUUUGAUACUGAAGAUCUUGAGUCCGGGAGAGGUGAGUGGAACUGCGAGUGUAGAGGUGAAAUUCGUAGAUAUUCGCAAGAACACCAGUGGCGAAGGCGGCUCACUGGCCCGGUACUGACGCUGAGGCACGAAAGCGUGGGGAGCAAACAGG
rnacentral:rRNA from 1 species